rnacentral:rRNA from 1 species
AUUGAACGCUGGCGGCAGGCCUAACACAUGCAAGUCGAGCGAGCGGCGGACGGGUGAGUAAUGUAUGGGCACCUGCCUGAUAGAGGGGGCUAAAUACUGGAAACGGUGGCUAAUACCGCCUAACACAGGAUGAGCCCAUAUUGGAUUAGGUAGUAGUGGGGGUAAAGGCUCACCUAGGCGACGAUGCAUAGCUGGUCUGAGAGGAUGACCAGCCACACUGGGACUGAGACACGGCCCAGACUCCUACGGGAGGCAGCAGUGGGGAAUAUUGCACAAUGGGCGCAAGCCUGAUGCAGCCAUGCCGCGUGUAUGAAGAAGGCCUUAGGGUUGUAAAGUACUUUCAGCGGGGAGGCGUUACCCGCAGAAGAAGCACCGGCUAACUCCGUGCCAGCAGCCGCGGUAAUUC